rnacentral:lncRNA from 1 species
UGAAACUCCGAACAACAAGUUGAUGACUGUAUUUCACUAGGCGUCUGUCCGUGGUCAACUUCGAUCUGUUGCUCUGCUCAUUCACACUAGCCACGGUGAAGAUUGAUGAAGAAAGUACGAGACGGUGCGAAAAAGGAGAGGAAAUCUCCUCUCUUGGUUACCACCUUGAACUCUGACUUUUUUCAGAUUUCGAUGACAGAGCGAGUGCCAUGAGAUUUCCUCCACUCGAGGAACCGAGUGACACUGGU